rnacentral:rRNA from 1 species
UGGGGAAUAUUGCACAAUGGGCGCAAGCCUGAUGCAGCGACGCCGCGUGGGGGAUGAAGGCCUUCGGGUUGUAAACUCCUUUCGCUAGGGACGAAGCCUUUUUAGGUGACGGUACCUGGAGAAGAAGCACCGGCUAACUACGUGCCAGCAGCCGCGGUAAUACGUAGGGUGCGAGCGUUGUCCGGAAUUACUGGGCGUAAAGAGCUCGUAGGUGGUUUGUUGCGUCGUCUGUGAAAUCCCGGGGCUUAACUUCGGGCGUGCAGGGGAUACGGGCAUAACUUGAGUGCUGUAGGGGAGACUGGAAUUCCUGGUGUAGCGGUGAAAUGCGCAGAUAUCAGGAGGAACACCAAUGGCGAAGGCAGGUCUCUGGGCAGUAACUGACGCUGAGGAGCGAAAGCAUGGGUAGCGAACAGG